rnacentral:rRNA from 1 species
CCUACGGGAGGCAGCAGUGGGGAAUAUUGGACAAUGGGCGAAAGCCUGAUCCAGCAAUUCCGCGUGUGUGAAGAAGGCCUUCGGGUUGUAAAGCACUUUAGUUGGGGAAGAAACAGCUUGGCCACACCAAGCCUUGACGGUACCCAAAGAAUAAGCACCGGCUAACUCUGUGCCAGCAGCCGCGGUAAUACAGAGGGUGCAAGCGCUAAUCGGAUUUACUGGGCGUAAAGGGUGCGUAGGUGGUUUUGUAAGUCGGAUGUGAAAGCCUGGGGGCUNAACCUCAGAAUUGC